UGCCAGCCGCCGCGGUAACACGGGGGGCGCAAGCGUUAUUCGGAAUUAUUGGGCGUAAAGGGCGCGUAGGCGGUCUUGUCAGUCAGGUGUGAAAGCCCGGGGCUCAACCCAGGAAGUGCAUCCAAAACUGUAUGGCUCGAGUACCGAAGGGGGUCAGAGAAUUCCCGGUGUAGAGGUGAAAUUCGUAGAUAUCGGGAGGAAUACCAGUGGCGAAGGCGCUGGCCUGGUCGGAUACUGACGCUGAGGUGUGAUAGCGUGGGGAGCAAACAGGAUUAGAUA
rnacentral:rRNA from 1 species